rnacentral:rRNA from 1 species
CGUGUAGGCGGGAAAGAAAGUCAGAAGUGAAAUCCCACGGCUUAACUGUGGAGCUGCUUCUGAAACUUCUUUUCUUGAGUGUCGGAGAGGAAAGUGGAAUUCCAAGUGUAGCGGUGAAAUGCGUAGAGAUUUGGAGGAACACCAGUGGCGAAGGCGGCUUUCUGGACGAUAACUGACGCUGAGGCGCGAAAGCGUGGGGAGCAAACAGGAUUAGAUACCCUGGUAGUCCACGCUGUAAACGAUGGAUACUAGGUGUAGGAGGUAUCGACCCCUUCUGUGCCGCAGUUAACACAAUAAGUAUCCCACCUGGGGAGUACGGCCGCAAGGUUGAA